CGCCACCAGAGCUUCGUGGCUUAAUGGGGGAGGCGAGGAGCCACUGCAGACCUGCUCGGGACAGUGAAGGGCGCCAGUCUCAGCCCUCAUCUGAAACCUGCUCCGUGACCCUGGACUAGUUCCUGCUCCUCUCUGGGCCAAAUCCUGGCCCUGCUCCUUUCUGGCUGAGUAACUUUGGGCAACUGUGCCCUGAAACCCUCUGCCCUGCUGAAGAAUGGAGAGGACUCCCCCACCAGCACCUCCAGCUAGGACACAUGGGAACUGUGGGACUUGGAGCAAAGUUUUCAAGUCUCUGUGCCUUAGUUUCCUCACCUGUGCUGUUCUAGGCGCUGAGGAUGCAGCCGUGCACAAGACGGAUGAAAUCCCUGCCCUCAGGGGCCGACAUUUGCGGAGUAAAUAAAGGAAAGGCCAACAUGAACAGCUGAUUUGGAUACCAUCAAGACACCUGAAAUUUUAGCAUGAGCCAGAUGCCAAGGAAGAGACUCCGGGAGGAUCCUGAGGACCCCCCGGUUGCAGCCAUGUCGAGGCUGAUGCUGAGGAGGACCCCAACUGUCACAAGCAACACCCGUCGAACACAGCCACCCAGCUGGGGACAGAUCAAGAAGCUGUCACAGAUGAUGGAAGAAAACCUGAGGAAAGCGGGACACCCACUCAGAAUGAGUAAUGGUAGCUAUGAUAGUGGUAAUCACCAUUGCCGUGAGUAUUCCUUAAAGAAGGGCUGACACAGAGAACAAUUAUACUUAUUAGGCAUAUUCAUCAAUCUUGGCUGGCAAUAAUGCCUGGAUGUAAUCACUCUAUGACACAGUUACAUGUGCUUUCUCAUCUCAG
rnacentral:antisense_RNA from 1 species